CAGCAGCCGCGGGAAUACGAAGGGUGCAAGCGUUACUCGGAAUUACUGGGCGUAAAGCGUGCGUAGGUGGUGGUUUAAGUCCGUUGUGAAAGCCCUGGGCUCAACCUGGGAAUUGCAGUGGAUACUGGGUCACUAGAGUGUGGUAGAGGAUAGUGGAAUUUCCGGUGUAGCAGUGAAAUGCGUAGAGAUCGGAAGGAACAUCUGUGGCGAAGGCGACUAUCUGGGCCAACACUGACGCUGAGGUGCGAAAGCGUGGGGAGCAAACAGGAUUAGAUACCCGUGUAGUCCCUGUCUCUUAUAC
rnacentral:rRNA from 1 species